rnacentral:rRNA from 1 species
GACGAACGCUGGCGGCGUGCUUAACACAUGCAAGUCGAACGGAAAGGCCUUUUCGGCGGUACUCGAGUGGCGAACGGGUGCGUAACACGUGGGUGAUCUGCCCUGCACUCUGGGAUAAGCCUGGGAAACUGGGUCUAAUACCGGAUAGGACCGCACUUUAGUGUGUGUGGUGGAAAGUUUUUUCGGUGUAGGAUGAGCCCGCGGCCUAUCAGCUUGUUGGUGGGGUAAUGGCCUACCAAGGCGGCGACGGGUAGCCGGACUGAGAGGUUGGUCGGCCACAUUGGGACUGAGAUACGGCCCAGACUCCUACGGGAGGCAGCAGUGGGGAAUAUUGCACAAUGGGCGCAAGCCUGAUGCAGCGACGCCGCGUGGGGGAUGACGGCCUUCGGGUUGUAAACUCCUUUCGCCAGGGACGACGCGUUUUGUGACGGUACCUGGAGAAGAAGCACCGGCUAACUACGUG